AAUGAACGCUGGCGGCGCGCCUAAUACAUGCAAGUCGAGCGAGAAGACGUAGCAAUACGUUUGUAAGGCGGCGAACGGGUGAGGAAUACAUGGGUAACCUACCCUCGAGUGGGGAAUAACUAGCCGAAAGGUUAGCUAAUACCGCGUACGCUCCUUGGACUUCGGUUCAGGGAGGAAAGCGAUGCCGAGGGUAUCGCGCUCUUGGAUGGGCUCAUGUCCUAUCAGCUUGUUGGGAGGUAACGGCUCACCAAGGCUUCGACGGGUAGCUGGUCUGAGAGGACGAUCAGCCACACUGGCACUGCGACACGGGCCAGACUCCUACGGGAGGCAGCAGUAAGGAAUAUUGCGCAAUGGGCGAAAGCCUGACGCAGCGACGCCGCGUGGGGG
rnacentral:rRNA from 1 species